GAUGAACGCUGGCGGCGUGCUUAACACAUGCAAGUCGAACGGGAAACCUUUUAUUGAAGCUUCGGCAGAUUUAGCUGGUUUCUAGUAGCGGACGGGUGAGUAACGCGUGGGUAACCUGCCUUGUACAGGGGGAUAACAGUCAGAAAUGACUGCUAAUAUCGCAUAAGCGCACGGAGCUGCAUGGCUCAGUGGGAAAAACUCCAGUGGUAUAAGAUGGGCCCGAGUUGGAUUAGCUAGUUGGUGAGGUAACGGCCCACCAAGGGGGCGAUCCAUAGCCGGCCUGGGGGGGUUAACGGCCAAAUUGGGACUGAGACACGGCCCAGACUACUACGGGAGGCAGCAGUGGGGAAUAUUGCACAAUGGGGGAAACCCUGAUGCAGCGACGCCGCGUGAAGGAAGAAGUAUCUCGGUAUGUAAACUUCUAUCAGCAGGGAAGAAAAUGACGGUACCUGACUAAGAAGCCCCGGCUAACUACGUGCCAGCCGCCGCAGUAA
rnacentral:rRNA from 1 species